GGUUAAGCGACUAAGCGUACACGGUGGAUGCCCCGGCAGUCAGAGGCGAUGAAGGACGUGCUAAUCUGCGAAAAGCGUCGGUAAGGUGAUAUGAACCGUUAUAACCGGCGAUGUCCGAAUGGGGAAACCCAGUGUGAUUCGUCACACUAUCGUUAACUGAAUACAUAGGUUAACGAGGCGAACCGGGGGAACUGAAACAUCUAAGUACCCCGAGGAAAAGAAAUCAACCGAGAUUCCCCCAGUAGCGGCGAGCGAACGGGGAGCAGCCCAGAGUCUGAAUCAGCUUGUGUGUUAGUGGAACGGUCUGGAAAGUCCGACGGUACAGGGUGAUAGUCCCGUACACCAAAAUGCACAGGUUGUGAACUCGAAGAGUAGGGCGGGACACGUGGUAUCCUGUCUGAAUAUGGGGGGACCAUCCUCCAAGGCUAAAUACUCCUGACUGACCGAUAGUGAACCAGUACCGUGAGGGAAAGGCGAAAAGAACCCCGGCGAGGGGAGUGAAAAAGAACCUGAAACCGUGUACGUACAAGCAGUGGGAGCACCUUCGGGUGUGACUGCGUACCUUUUGUAUAAUGGGUCAGCGACUUAUAUUCUGUAGCAAGGUUAACCGUAUAGGGGAGCCGCAGGGAAACCGAGUCUUAACUGGGCGUUAAGUUGCAGGGUAUAGACCCGAAACCCGGUGAUCUAGCCAUGGGCAGGUUGAAGGUUGGGUAACACUAACUGGAGGACCGAACCGACUAAUGUUGAAAAAUUAGCGGAUGACUUGUGGCUGGGGGUGAAAGGCCAAUCAAACCGGGAGAUAGCUGGUUCUCCCCGAAAGCUAUUUAGGUAGCGCCUCGUGAACUCAUCUUCGGGGGUAGAGCACUGUUUCGGCUAGGGGGUCAUCCCGACUUACCAACCCGAUGCAAACUACGAAUACCGAAGAAUGUUAUCACGGGAGACACACGGCGGGUGCUAACGUCCGUCGUGAAGAGGGAAACAACCCAGACCGCCAGCUAAGGUCCCAAAGUCAUGGUUAAGUGGGAAACGAUGUGGGAAGGCACAGACAGCCAGGAUGUUGGCUUAGAAGCAGCCAUCAUUUAAAGAAAGCGUAAUAGCUCACUGGUCGAGUCGGCCUGCGCGGAAGAUGUAACGGGGCUAAACCAUGCACCGAAGCUGCGGCAGCGACACUAUGUGUUGUUGGGUAGGGGAGCGUUCUGUAAGCCUGCGAAGGUGACCUGUGAGGGUUGCUGGAGGUAUCAGAAGUGCGAAUGCUGACAUAAGUAACGAUAAAGCGGGUGAAAAGCCCGCUCGCCGGAAGACCAAGGGUUCCUGUCCAACGUUAAUCGGGGCAGGGUGAGUCGACCCCUAAGGCGAGGCCGAAAGGCGUAGUCGAUGGGAAACAGGUUAAUAUUCCUGUACUUGGUGUUACUGCGAAGGGGGGACGGAGAAGGCUAUGUUAGCCGGGCGACGGUUGUCCCGGUUUAAGCAUGUAGGCUGAUUGUCCAGGCAAAUCCGGAUAAUCAAGGCUGAGGUGUGAUGACGAGGCACUACGGUGCUGAAGUAACAAAUGCCCUGCUUCCAGGAAAAGCCUCUAAGCAUCAGGUAACAUCAAAUCGUACCCCAAACCGACACAGGUGGUCAGGUAGAGAAUACCAAGGCGCUUGAGAGAACUCGGGUGAAGGAACUAGGCAAAAUGGUGCCGUAACUUCGGGAGAAGGCACGCUGGUGUGUAGGUGAAGUCCCUGCGGAUGGAGCUGAGACCAGUCGAAGAUACCAGCUGGCUGCAACUGUUUAUUAAAAACACAGCACUGUGCAAACACGAAAGUGGACGUAUACGGUGUGACGCCUGCCCGGUGCCGGAAGGUUAAUUGAUGGGGUUAUCCGUAAGGAGAAGCUCUUGAUCGAAGCCCCGGUAAACGGCGGCCGUAACUAUAACGGUCCUAAGGUAGCGAAAUUCCUUGUCGGGUAAGUUCCGACCUGCACGAAUGGCGUAAUGAUGGCCGGCUGUCUCCACCCGAGACUCAGUGAAAUUGAACUCGCUGUGAAGAUGCAGUGUACCCGCGGCAAGACGGAAAGACCCCGUGAACCUUUACUAUAGCUUGACACUGAACAUUGAGCCUUGAUGUGUAGGAUAGGUGGGAGGCUUUGAAGCGUGGACGCCAGUCUGCGUGGAGCCAACCUUGAAAUACCACCCUUUAAUGUUUGAUGUUCUAACGUUGGCCCCUGACCGGGGUUGCGGACAGUGUCUGGUGGGUAGUUUGACUGGGGCGGUCUCCUCCCAAAGCGUAACGGAGGAGCACGAAGGUUAGCUAAUCCUGGUCGGACAUCAGGAGGUUAGUGCAAUGGCAUAAGCCAGCUUGACUGCGAGCGUGACGGCGCGAGCAGGUGCGAAAGCAGGUCAUAGUGAUCCGGUGGUUCUGAAUGGAAGGGCCAUCGCUCAACGGAUAAAAGGUACUCCGGGGAUAACAGGCUGAUACCGCCCAAGAGUUCAUAUCGACGGCGGUGUUUGGCACCUCGAUGUCGGCUCAUCACAUCCUGGGGCUGAAGUAGGUCCCAAGGGUAUGGCUGUUCGCCAUUUAAAGUGGUACGCGAGCUGGGUUUAGAACGUCGUGAGACAGUUCGGUCCCUAUCUGCCGUGGGCGCUGGAGAAUUGAGGGGGGCUGCUCCUAGUACGAGAGGACCGGAGUGGACGCAUCACUGGUGUUCGGGUUGUCAUGCCAAUGGCACUGCCCGGUAGCUAAAUGCGGAAGAGAUAAGUGCUGAAAGCAUCUAAGCACGAAACUUGCCCCGAGAUGAGUUCUCCCUGAGACUUUAAGUCUCCUGAAGGAACGUUGAAGACGAUGACGUUGAUAGGCCGGGUGUGUAAGCGCAGCGAUGCGUUGAGCUAACCGGUACUAAUGAACCGUGAGGCUUAACCUU
rnacentral:rRNA from 1 species